UUCCGUAGGUGAACCUGCGGAAGGAUCAUUACCGAGUGAGGGCCCUCUGGGUCCAACCUCCCACCCGUGUUUAUCGUACCUUGUUGCUUCGGCGGGCCCGCCGCAAGGCCGCCGGGGGGCAUCUGCCCUCUGGCCCGCGCCCGCCGAAGACACCAUUGAACGCUGUCUGAAGAUUGCAGUCUGAGCAAUUAGUUAAAUAACUUAAAACUUUCAACAACGGAUCUCUUGGUUCCGGCAUCGAUGAAGAACGCAGCGAAAUGCGAUACGUAAUGUGAAUUGCAGAAUUCAGUGAAUCAUCGAGUCUUUGAACGCACAUUGCGCCCCCUGGUAUUCCGGGGGGCAUGCCUGUCCGAGCGUCAUUGCUGCCCUCAAGCACGGCUUGUGUGUUGGGCUCCGUCCUCCUCCCGGGGGACGGGCCCGAAAGGCAGCGGCGGCACCGCGUCCGGUCCUCGAGCGUAUGGGGCUUCGUCACCCGCUCUGUAGGCCCGGCCGGCGCUUGCCGACACAUCAAUCUUUUUUCCAGGUUGACCUCGGAUCAGGUAGGGA
rnacentral:rRNA from 1 species